AGAGUUUGAUCCUGGCUCAGGACGAACGCUGGCGGCGUGCUUAACACAUGCAAGUCGAGCGGAAAGGCCCUUCGGGGUACUCGAGCGGCGAACGGGUGAGUAACACGUGGGCAACCUGCCCCUCGCUCUGGGAUAACUCCGGGAAACCGGGGCUAAUACCGGAUAUGACUCUCUUAGGCAUCUUCGAGGGUGGAAAGUUUUUCGGCGAGGGAUGGGCCCGCGGCCUAUCAGCUUGUUGGUGGGGUGAUGGCCUACCAAGGCAGUGACGGGUAGCCGGCCUGAGAGGGCGACCGGCCACACUGGGACUGAGACACGGCCCAGACUCCUACGGGAGGCAGCAGUGGGGAAUAUUGCGCAAUGGGCGAAAGCCUGACGCAGCGACGCCGCGUGAGGGAUGACGGCCUUCGGGUUGUAAACCUCUUUCAGCAGGGACGAAGCGCAAGUGACGGUACCUGCAGAAGAAGCACCGGCCAACUACGUGCCAGCAGCCGCGGUAAUACGUAGGGUGCAAGCGUUGUCCGGAAUUAUUGGGCGUAAAGAGCUCGUAGGCGGCUUGUCACGUCGACUGUGAAAACCCGGGGCUCAACUCCGGGCCUGCAGUCGAUACGGGCUGGCUUGAGUGCGGUAGGGGAGACUGGAAUUCCUGGUGUAGCGGUGAAAUGCGCAGAUAUCAGGAGGAACACCGGUGGCGAAGGCGGGUCUCUGGGCCGUAACUGACGCUGAGGAGCGAAAGCGUGGGGAGCGAACAGGAUUAGAUACCCUAGUAGUCC
rnacentral:rRNA from 1 species